CCUUAAGUGCUACAGAAAGCUGCAGAUUCCAUUUGGAAAAAGGACAGUGAAAUGAGUGAUGAAAUAGGCAAGAUGAGCAUGUAAUCAACAGCCAUUGGCUAACAAYUUGGUGCCUCAAAGGACAAGGAAAACGUGGAAGAAAAAUAUUGAAUUCUUGUCAGGGCUACAGCAGAUUUGUGCUCGCUCCUCAAACCCGUCCUAGAAGACCUGACCCCAGACCUGUGUGCACACAUGCACACCCACAUGUACAGCAAACUUUCCAGGGGCUUGGAGACACUCUUCUGAAAACAGGCAGGACCUGCCUGCUGCCUGCUCCCCGUGACAUCAGCAGGAACCUGCCAGAGUUCCGCUCCAGCAGGAUCAGAGCCUCGGGCCGUGUCUGCAGUUGUUUGCACAGGUGCAAAUGAAGUGUGAAUCUACUGCAGCCAGCACAGGCAUUCAUCAUCAUCCCCUCAGCCCACAGAGCUGCCUUCAGCCUUGCUUUGAACUCACYGAGRUCCCUCCCUGU